rnacentral:siRNA from 1 species
GAAAAUGUGGAAGUGACCCUGCUU